GUUUCUUCUCCGGCAGCACAUAUACUAAAAUUGGAACGACACAGAGAAGAUUAGCAUGGCCCCCGUGCAAACUUUUCAAAAGGUAGAUAUUUUAGCUACCAUU